ensembl:lncRNA
CUCUGCUGCUUAUUCUGCAACUGGCUCCUAUUUCCUCAGAUGGAGAUGGGAGUUAGACUUGAACCAGGACUCUCAGUGGGGAAAUAAGUGGUAGUGUUUGAUCUUCUGCUAACUGUUGGCACUACAAUGACAUGUAAUGAACCAUCCCCAAACUCAGUGGCUUAAAAUAAUAAGCAUUUAUUUUGCUCACAGGUCUGGAUUAGUGAUUUACACCAGAGUGGCUGGACAGUUCUGGUCUUGACUGGGCUCCUUCAUAUGCCUGACAGUUGACAAAUCCAGUUGAUCUAGGAUGGCCUUGGCCAGCACAACUGGGGCAACUCAGGUCGGCUCCAUGUGUCUUAUCCUCUGGCAGCCUAGCCAGGGCAUAUUGUCGAGGCAAAGGCAGAGAUGCUAGACUCUCCACCAUGGUUGAGAACCCUGGACCAUGUGAUCACCGAGGCCCCUCCUAGCUCUGGCGUUUCUCCUGGCAUGAGGAUAGAUUUCUAUUCAUGUUUCCUGCAGAGGGCGCCAAACCCAAGCCAAUGGCUCCUCUAGGCUUGGCGCUUUCCUCCUGAUUCACUGCAUGUAGUUUGCUUCCUUCCUACCCUUUCUAACCUAGAGUACUAUUCUGGUUAUCUAUUGCUGAGUAACAAACUACCCCAAAACUUAGUGGCUUAAAACAGCAGCCAUUUUAUCUCAUGGAAUCUGCUGGUUAGGAAUUAAGACAGAGCUUGGAUGGGCAAUCCUGCUCCUUGUGGCUUCAGCUGAGAUCCCUCACUGGUACUCGGUUGGCAGGUGGACACGACUGGAGAGUCCAGGUUGGCUUCACUCACAUGUCUGGCGCCAUGGUGGGGAUGGCUGGAAGCAGGCUCAUUUGAGACCAUCAACCAGAGGGCCUACAUGGCCUCUCUAGCAUGGCAGUUUCAGGGCUGUCAGUCUUCUUACGUGAUGGCUGCUUUCUCCUAGAAUAGAAUGUGUGUUCUGAGAAGCUGCAUGGCCUUUUAUGACCUAGCUUAGGAAGUCACAUAGCAUUCCAUCUACAGUAUUCUAUUGGUCAAAGCAUCAAAAGCCCACCUAGAUUCAAGAGGGAAGGACAUAGACUCCACCUCUUUAAUGGGAAAGUAUAAAAAUCUGCUCACUCAAGUUCCCACUUUUCCUCCCUGUAUUUUUGGUCUAGUCUUCUGUAAUAUUCUCAGAUGAGACCUCUCCCUAGAGCAGUGGCUCUUAAAAUGUGGCCCCUGGUCCAGCAGCAUCAGCAUCCUCUGAGACCCUGUUAGAAGUGCAAAUUCUCAGGCCCCAGCCUAGACCUACUGAAUCAGAAACUUGAGGGUGGGACCCAGUAAUCUGUUCUGACAAGCCCUUCACUUCAUGAACCCUAAAGCUUGGGAACCACUGACCCAGGACAGAAGUCUCUUGGUGAGCCUCAAGUGAUGACCCAUGACUGCCUUCAACUUCCCAUCCUAGAUGUUGGAUUGAGGGUAACCUGGGUGGGGCAUGCAGUGGAGUGUGGUGCUGUUUAUGGGUUGGAACAUUACAAACAAGAAAAUUCACCAUUGCCCUUAAAGAAAUUACAGGGGCCAAAAUAACCACAAAUGAAAUUCUCUUAAGAUGAUACUAGUGUCUCAGCAGUAGAAUUUCAGUGUUACAUGGGCCCCUGUUCAUUUCUAAAGAGAGUGCAGCAAAGGGGGACAGAGGGCAGGGGAAAUAACCAAUUUGUUCCUUUAUGAGGUGGUUCCUUGUAGACUUGUCUGACUCAAAAAGUCAGCUGUCUGGGGCUGAAAUGAACUCAGAUGAACCACCAUAGAGAAAGCCCCUCUGAUAAAGGCAACGUGAGUUCUCUUCCUGUAUUUCUCAGCGGGGAUUGGAUGAGGUGGGGUGGGGAGUCCUUAACCCACUAGUCUUGUGUGAUUUGCAACCCUCUCAGAGUGGUUAGAAAUGAAGAUGCUGGCAAUAAACCACACUCCUGGGUCCUCGGGGCCCAUCAGUGGUAACUAUGGGUAACUCAUGUGUAACAGUCUCCUUGGCAAAUCACCAAGGUCCUUGACCUGUGAGCUCAUUGUUACCACACAAAUGGAAGAUCUGAGUUUCACUGAAAAUUUAAAUUGCUUCACUCUACUCUAGGGAAGAGAUGGGGCCAGCAGCUCAAGUAAAGCAGUCAUUGGGCCGCAGGUUGGCCCAGUAAUUAUAACGAGGUUUGGCGAUUCUUAAGCAGUUUGACACAUAUGUGCCCUCUAUGCCCCUAAUUGAGUGGUGGAUGACCGGUAUGUCCCACGAUGCUCAGAAACUUUGUCCUGCCCACUUCCCAAGCACCAGUUCCUAAGUACUAGUUACCAAGCUUCCUUCAAAGACCUUACUUUGCUUGCAAACUUGUCACUCAAACAGCUUUGCAGGAAGAUAGAGAAGAGUCCUGUGGCCAAACCCCAUCCCCACACUUUCCUGGAUAUGGUAGGAGCUUCUGGGCUGGCCCAGAGAAUCCCAAACACAGGAAGAUCUGUGGGGAUAGUUGAGCAGAGCUCGGGCUUCUAUUGCUGGUGAAAGAACCAGUGAAAAAACCUGUCCAGACUGAGUGAAAGUCAGCCCUGUGCCCUGCCGUUUGUGAGACUCCUGGAGCCGACACUGAAGCCAGCUGCAAGUUAACAGGGAGCAGUCUUUCUCCCAAGGUCACCGCUACAGCUCAAAAGUGUCAUAAUCACUCCUUUGAGUGACUCCUGCUUUCUUUCCAAUGACAUACCCAGCCUUGCUUUGUCACGCCUGCCACCUGAACAAAAAUCACUGCAAAACUGUGACUGAAAUCAUGGACUGUCAAAACUUUGCAGUUUGCAAGCCUCUCAGUAAGAACGGAACAUUCCACUCUUGCCUGGAAGACCUGAGCCGCGUCCUUCUAGUUGUGCUGUGUGGGACGCCGCCUCAGCGUGACCUGAUGAGCAGUGCCACGUCCACACCCAGGAUCCGAACCAGCGAAACCCUGGGCCACCGCAGCGGAGUGUGCAAACUUAACCACUCGGCCACCGGGCUGGCCCCUAGAACUUCUGAUAGGGGUUCUCAGGUUCGACCCAGGGGGUAUUCAUCAGAUGGGCUGUCGUGCAGCAGAGUUUGAGGACCACUGCUCUUCUUCACUGCUUUGCAGUAAAGGCUGUGGUCCAAACUGCUGUCAGAAGUGAACUCGUGUAACCAGCCUCAAAGAGGGAAGAAAAAUACCCCUGCUCCCCAAAGAGAUGAUUGAUUGGCCUGGGCCAUUAAAUAACACUUCCUAAUCAGUUUUUAGGUGUCAGAAAUUUUAACCGUGUGAUCACUAAAAUUCAACACAGCCCUGAAAUAAGGUACUAUUAUGCCCAGUAUAUAGAUGAGAAAACAGAGACUCAGAGAAGUUAAGCAAAUUAUGCAGGAUAAUUAAACAGCAAGUUGGUAACGGAGCUUCACGUCCAGGUGUGUGGCUCCAAUUUUUUGCUUUUUUCACAAUCUGCCCCACAUCUUUCAUGACCUGCAGCAGCCUAUGAGAGACAACCUCUCUGAGUGGACCUGUCAGAACAACUAAGCCUGCUGGGUGUGGGCAGUCUUCCCAUAUGUUUGCCCCAAGUGCCUCAGCACCUGAUCCUACCAACAGGAAAAGCGAAAGUGGAGAGACUGCCGCUGUGCUGGGCGGUGUGUGCCCAGCACUGUUCUCCAUUCCUUCUCCGCAGCGUUUGGUCCAGUAGCCACCCCUUCCCCUGUAGCCUGUGAGCUUCUGGAGAAUCUCCAGGGAGUGAGCUAAGAGUAAUCGUAUAACCUUUGCCACUGUGGCUUCAGGAACCAGGCUCUAAUACAAUCAGCAGGUGACAUCCUCCUGACGAUAGGAAUUGGGUCAGGAAUGGGUGUAUGACCAGUGAGGCUCAAGGCAAGAUUUGCAAGGGGCUUCUGGAAACAAAUUUCUUCAGAGCCACUGGAAUAGAUGUUCUCUCUUCCUCUGGCUAUUGCAGGGUGCAGAAUAAGACUGCAACUACAGCAGUCUGCUCAUGACCACCCUAAGGCUCAGACUAACAGGAGAGAUGCAAAUAGCUGAGAAGAUAGCUCAAGUAGAGGAGUGGAGUGGGUGCUUUGAUUGAACCAUGCCUGAUCUCCACCCCACUACAGGAAUUUUUAAGUUAUAUGAGCCAAUAAAUUCUAC